rnacentral:rRNA from 1 species
GAUCCUGGCUCAGGAUGAACGCUAGCUAUAGGCUUAACACAUGCAAGUCGAGGGGCAGCAUGGUCUUAGCUUGCUAAGGCCGAUGGCGACCGGCGCACGGGUGAGUAACACGUAUCCAACCUGCCGUCUACUCUUGGACAGCCUUCUGAAAGGAGGAUUAAUACAAGAUGGCAUCAUGAGUUCACAUGUUCACAUGAUUAAAGGUAUUCCGGUAGACGAUGGGG